AGUGCUGCAGGAUGCGAUUGAUUGCCUGGUGGACAAGGUUGAAUUGGGCCGAGCUUUUGUAAGACCGUCAGGGACUGAGGACAUUGUGAGGAUAUAUGCAGAAGCAUCAACUCAACAAGCUGCGGAUCAGCUUGCCGAGAAUAUUAAGUCUGCCGUGGUGGCUACUCUUGUUGCUUGAAUCGCAAAAGAAUUGAAUGUUUUGU
rnacentral:ribozyme from 1 species